rnacentral:rRNA from 1 species
AGCAACAAGGGUGAAAUCUGUACUUAAGUUAAAUUUCUUGUUUAAAGCAUCUUUUAGGUAGUUAAACGACUAGGAUUAGAUACCCUAUUAGUCUAUCCUUAAUUAACCUGGGUAGUAAUAUUAAAACCUAAAGAAUUUGGCGGUUUCUAAACUUACUAGAGGAACCUGUCCCGUAAACGACAAUCCACGAAAAAAUCAAUCCAAACUUGUUAUUCAGCUUAUAUACCGUCGUUUAGGGGAUUAAACAAAUAGAUCUCCUUAAGAGCCUAGGCUAAUAAAUCAGAUCAAGGUGUAGCUUAUGUUUGGGUGAGGAUGGGUUACAAUGAAAAUUCAUACGGAACCUUUAUAUUACUGCAAAGGAGAAGGUGGAUUUAGAAGUAAGACCUAACACACUGAAGAAAGCCCUGAGAAAUGUACAC